AUACAUUUUUGAGACAUCACGUGGAUUACAAAACCAAAUACCCUUUGCCGGAUUGGAUGGAAGAAUUUUUGUCCAAGCAGCCCACCGGCGACUCACAACAGCACCACGAGAU
rnacentral:ribozyme from 1 species